rnacentral:rRNA from 1 species
CACGUAGGCACCAAGCGUUGUCCGGAUUUAUUGGGCGUAAAGAGCGUGUAGGCGGCCAGGUAGGUCUGCUGUGAAAACUCGAGGCUCAACCUCGAGACGCCGGUGGAAACCAUCAGGCUAGAGUCCGGAAGAGGAGAGUGGAAUUCCUGGUGUAGCGGUGAAAUGCGCAGAUAUCAGGAAGAACACCCGUGGCUAAGGCGGCUCUCUAGUACGGUACUGACGCUGAGACGCGAAAGCGUGGGGAGCGAACAGG